AAAAUGAAUACAGCUAAGUACAUCCAAAUCCUUGAUGAAAACCUGCUCCAGAGCGCUCAAGACCUUCGACUGGGGCGACACUUCAUCUUCCAGCAUGACAAUGACCCUAAGCACAUGGCCAAGAAGACAAAGGAGUGGCUUCAGGACAAGUCUCUGAAUGUCCUUGAGUGGCCCAGCCAGAGCCCAGACUUGAACCCGAUUGAACAUCUUUGGAAAGACCUGAAAGUAGCUGUGCACCGACGCUGCCCAUCCAACCUCACUGAGCUUGAGAGGAUGUGCAAGGAAGAAUGGGAAAAACUCCCCAAAUCCAGGUGUGCCAAGCUUGUUGCAUCAUACACAAGAAGACUGGAGGCUGUAAUCGCUGCCAAAGGUGCUUCGACCAAGUAUUGAGUAAAGGGUGUGAAUACUUAUGUAUAUGCAACAUUUGAGUGUUCUUAUUUUUAAUAAAUUUGCAAAAUGUUCUAAAAAAAGUUUUUCGCUUUGUCAUUAUGGGGUAUUUUGUGUAGAAUUUUU